GGAGUCCCUCCCUCUAAAACCACUCUGUGUGGGGAACAUGAGAGCCAGACCAAAGCUCAGAGGAACCCACCUGGACCUCCACCCAGCUCUGUGUCCUUAAGGGGUGACCGGUCUAAAGCUGACAUUAUUGAUUUUAAAGUCCAACCUCUGUCUGCUGCAGAGAGAGUGGACCAGGAAAGCUCAGAGGUUCCCAGUGAUCAGUCUGCCCAGCAGCAUCAAACACACCUGGACUCCAUAUUUAUGGUCUGUACAUGUACAACAACUACUUUUACAUCUAUUCUGUUCACAGAAAGAACAGCUAUUUUGUACUUAAACAUAUAGCAAGUUUAUUAGCAAGUAUUAGGUUUUUUUGUAGUAUUAGAGACAAGAUGAGGCAAGUUAGAAACACAAGUAAGCACUGUUUCGAAUAAACCAUUAGCUUUGGCAGCUGGGCUAGUCAGAACAAAAAUAGUCUUUGUAGUUUUAUCUGUUUUAUCUAUACCCCUGACCACUUUGACACAAAAUGCUACCAACAUGUUCUUCAAUUUUUGGCUGUCAUG